UGGACCGGAGGCAACAGCUGGAUGAGGCUCUGGUGAACAUGGUGGUGAAGGACUCACAGCCUUUUUCCAUCGUUGAGGACGGUGGAUUCAAGGCAUUUGUGGCAUUGCUGGAUCCAACCUACACCAUGCCAUCCAGAAAGGCUGUGAAGAACAUGGUUUUCCGGAAGUACGAGGAGGAGAAGACCAAGGCCAAGGCUGCCAUGCAGAAGGUACAGGCUGUGAGUCUGACUUCAGACAUGUGGACCUCCAUUAAUAUGGAGGCAUACCUAGCAGUCACCUGCCAUUAUGUCGAUGACACUUCGAAGCUGGCCACAGUGCUUUUGGGAGUGCUGCCUUUCCCCGAGACUCAUACGGCUGUGAACAUUUCUGCAGCAAUGAGGUCUCUCAUGGAGGAAUGGGACAUUGAGAGUAAAGUGGCUUCGAUUGUGACGGAUGCGGGAGCCAACAUGAUUGCCUGUGUCAGAAUGUUGAAUUUGAGACAUGCACUUUGUUUUGCACACUCUAAAUUUAGUGGUGAAGAAGUCCAAUGAUGCUACACCAGGUCUAGAAGACCUACGCACAAGGGCACGCAAAGUUGUCACCUUUUUCAGAACGAGCACUACAGCAAAGGAGAAGCUGAAAGAAGUGCAGGAGCAACUGAACAGGCCAGUGAUGAAGCUCAUCCAAGAAGUGGACACACGCUGGAACAGCACCUUCCUUAUGCUCCAGCGCCUCUUCCAGGAGAGACAGGCAGUAGGGGCAGCUCUCGCUACACUGACGACAGAUGUGACACCCAUGUCCUGAGGAUUAUGAAGCAACGGCUGCGUGCCUACAUCUGAUUGCCCCCUUCAACCAGGCAACCGUUGAACUUUCAGAGGAGAAAAGAGUGUCAGGGUUCAAGGUCAUUCCAAUGACCAUAAUGUUAAAUAUAUAUCUGCAUGGGGAGAUGCAGAACACAAGGCACCCCACAGCAAAACUGUUGGGACAGAACCUCAUUUAUGCAAAAACCUUUUGAACCAUUUGAACCUGCAGAGACCCAGACAGCCCUGACACUGGCAACACUUCUGGAUCCCAGAUACAAGAUGAUGGGAUUCAAUAAUCAAAUACAGGUGCAGGCAUCAGUGAAAAGACUGACAGCACAAUGCACACUUUUAAUGAGGGACACAGUGGACACACCACCUGACACACCGACAGAGGAACAUCCCUCCACAUCGGCCCAAGCAGCAACAGCGAAUGUGGAAAAUCCUCCUUCAACAGUGAUAAACCUGUGGGAAAGCCUCGACAGAGAUGCCUCCCAGGCAAGAAAGGGGAGGAACGCAACAGCAGAUGCAACAGUCGAGGUGCAGCGCUAUUUGACGGAUCCACCCAUAUCAAGAUGUGAAGAUCCACUGAAGUACUGGCGGGAACAUCAAAAUGUGUACACACAUUUAUUCAAGCUGGCAAACAAAUUUUUAUGUACGCCAGCAUCCUCGGUACCAUCGGAGCGAAUUUUCUCAAUGUGGAGAAAUUGUGAGCAAGAAGAGAAACCGGCUCAACCCUAAAACUGUGGAAAAAAUAAUGUUCCUAAAUAAAAAUCUUUGAAUUUUCC
ensembl:lncRNA